rnacentral:rRNA from 1 species
UGCCAGCGGUUAGGCCGGGAACUCAAAGGAGACUGCCAGUGAUAAACUGGAGGAAGGUGGGGAUGACGUCAAGUCAUCAUGGCCCUUACGAGUAGGGCUACACACGUGCUACAAUGGCGCAUACAAAGAGAAGCGACCUCGCGAGAGCAAGCGGACCUCAUAAAGUGCGUCGUAGUCCGGAUUGGAGUCUGCAACUCGACUCCAUGAAGUCGGAAUCGCUAGUAAUCGUAGAUCAGAAUGCUACGGUGAAUACGUUCCCGGGCCUUGUACACACCGCCCGUCACACCAUGGGAGUGGGUUGCAAAAGAAGUAGGUAGCUUAACCUUCGGGAGGGCGCUUACCACUUUGUGAUUCAUGACUGGGGUGAAGUCGUAACAAGGUAACCGUAGGGGAACCUGCGGUUGGAUCACCUCCUU